rnacentral:rRNA from 1 species
UACAGAGGUCCCAAGCGUUGUUCGGAUUCACUGGGCGUAAAGGGUGCGUAGGUGGCCAGGUAAGUUUGGUGUGAAAGCUCGGAGCUUAACUCCGAAAAGUCAUUGAAUACUAUCUGGCUGGAGGGUCGGAGGGGAGACUGGAAUUCCCGGUGUAGCGGUGAAAUGCGUAGAGAUCGGGAGGAACAUCAGUGGCGAAGGCGGCCAUCUGGAUCAACACUGACGCUGAGGCACGAAAGCGUGGGGAGCAAACAGG